rnacentral:lncRNA from 1 species
CGACACAAAAAUGAAAUUUGGAAUGAUUAGCAGGGAAAUAAGAGAGAGAAGUGUGAGCAAAUAUACCCAUGAGGCCUUCGGAUUCAAGUUCGGAGCUGGAAGCGACAGAGGUUGCAAACCCAGAGCAUGGAAGAAGCGGGAAGGAUUUUCCUCUGUGCUGCCUCAUGCACGUGUCUUCUACUAUUUAUCCAAGCAUUGACUGUGUCAAAUAUUGGUAGUGGUAAUCUUAAAACUGAUAUAAUCAUAUAGAAAUAUUUUUGUUCAAUCUUUCAGGAUCUUAGCAACAUUUCUUUUGUUUCAUGACUUCUCAACAAAAGAUGUGGCAUCAUCAAUAUUUGUGAUGUUAAUUUUGAAUCAUGUCUCUAUUUUAGAUUGAGAGAGAGAGAGAGAGAGAGAGAGAGAGAGAGAGCAUGAUUUAAGCGGGAACUAUCUCAAGCAAUUUUCCUAUCUAGCAAAUGGUUAAGACAGAAAAAUCAAUCUUCGAUAUAGAAAACAUCUUGAGCUUAUAAAAACCACCAAAUCAAAGUUAUGUUUUUUUAUGUGCUUGUUUGCAACAUGGCAUAUUUAUUGCUUUCCAGGGUAUAAAUGGUUAUCAAGCAAAAUGAAAAAGAAGUUAAAGACUUCCAACAAUGGAGAGCAUACCACCAUCAUAUGUGAUCAAGGGCAACACUAUAAAAGCAUGCUUGAAUUAGAGAGAUGAGACUGGUGGUUAGUGGCAUAUUUUGAUUAGCAUUACCUCCAAGAUAAGUCGACCUCUCUGAUCAUAUGGGAAUCUGCAACGCAUGGAUUUCCUGUAGAUAUCUUUUGCAUCAUUAUAGUCAUUAUCAAAAAGGUAAACAAGAUCACAUGUUUUAGGACAACAUACAGAACACACGUAUACACACCCUAAUUGCAAACUCUGCAAUGAAAGGACCAAAAUAAAAUAAAAACUUUAGUUAAACUAAAACAAUUACAAAAUCCAAAAUUCAAUUCUUUCUUUUUUUGCAAACUAUUCAAUGAAAAUGACCAAAAUAAAAUAAAAACUUUAGUUAAACUAAAACAAUUAGAAAAUGCAAAAUUCAAUUCUUUCUUUUUUCUUGUGUCAAAAUUAAAUUAUACUAACAAACCUUCAUAAAUGCAUCAAUUUCUGGAUCUAGCUAUAAAAUCCAAUGUUUCUCUUCCAGUCAGCUCUGGAAAAUGAUUAUCUGUUCGGUGGAUUUAUGC